UACGGAGGGUGCAAGCGUUAAUCGGAAUUACUGGGCGUAAAGCGCACGCAGGUGGCUGAGUCAGUCGAUUGUGAAAGCCCUGGGCUUAACCUGGGAAUUGCAGUCGAUACUACUCAGCUAGAGUAUGGGAGAGGGCAGUGGAAUUCCGGGUGUAGCGGUGGAAUGCGUAGAGAUCCGGAAGAACACCAGUGGCGAAGGCGGCCCGCUGGGCAGUGGCUGACGCUGAGGCGCGACAGCGUGGGGAGCGAACCGG
rnacentral:rRNA from 1 species